AGUGAACGCUGGCGGUAGGCCUAACACAUGCAAGUCGAACGGCAGCACAGUAAGAGCUUGCUCUUACGGGUGGCGAGUGGCGGACGGGUGAGGAAUACAUCGGAAUCUACUUUUUCGUGGGGGAUAACGUAGGGAAACUUACGCUAAUACCGCAUACGACCUACGGGUGAAAGCAGGGGAUCUUCGGACCUUGCGCGAUUGAAUGAGCCGAUGUCGGAUUAGCUAGUUGGCGGGGUAAAGGCCCACCAAGGCGACGAUCCGUAGCUGGUCUGAGAGGAUGAUCAGCCACACUGGAACUGAGACACGGUCCAGACUCCUACGGGAGGCAGCAGUGGGGAAUAUUGGGCAAUGGGCGAAAGCCUGAUCCAGCCAUACCGCGUGGGUGAAGAAGGCCUUCGGGUUGUAAAACCCUUUUGUUUGGGAAGAAAAGCAGCAGGUUAAUACCCCGCUGUUCUGACGGUACCCAAAGAAUAAGCACCGGCUAACUUCGUG
rnacentral:rRNA from 1 species